UACGUAGGGGGCAAGCGGUGUCCGGAUUUACUGGGCGUAAAGAGCGUGUAGGCGGCCAAGCAGGUCCGUUGUGAAAACUGGAGGCUUAACCUCCAGACGUCGACGGAAACCGCGUGGCUAGAGUCCGGAAGAGGAGAGUGGAAUUCCUGGUGUAGCGGUGAAAUGCGCAGAUAUCAGGAAGAACACCAAUGGCGAAGGCAGCUCUCUGGGACGGUACUGACGCUGAGACGCGAAAGCGUGGGGAGCAAACAGG
rnacentral:rRNA from 1 species